rnacentral:rRNA from 1 species
UCUGCUAACACAACCCUCACCCCCCCCUGUGUGAAACUUGUUUUGCGUGGAGAGGCGGCGGACUCUGGGUGUCGCACCGUGUAACAACGGAGCGUCCCCCGAAAAGCAGACCCCAUUGCGGGAUACUCAAUCGAAGCCUUGUGUUUUGUAUCCGCUGACGGUGUGGUAGGCAUUCUAAACACUUGCUUAUACUAAAUCACCAUUA